rnacentral:rRNA from 1 species
ACAACGGAGAGUUUGAUCCUGGCUCAGGAUGAACGCUAGCGGCAGGCCUAAUACAUGCAAGUCGAACGGUAAGGUCUCUUCGGAGAUACACGAGUGGCGCACGGGUGAGUAACGCGUAUGCAACCUACCUAUAACUGGGGAAUAGCCCUUCGAAAGGAGGAUUAAUACCCCAUAAUGUUUCCGAGAGGCAUCUCUCGGUUCCUAAAACUCCGGUGGUUAUAGAUGGGCAUGCGUGACAUUAGUUUGUUGGUGAGGUAACGGCUCACCAAGACUACGAUGUCUAGGGGGUUUGAGAGGAUGAUCCCCCACACUGGUACUGAGAUACGGACCAGACUCCUACGGGAGGCAGCAGUAGGGAAUAUUGGACAAUGGGGGAAACCCUGAUCCAGCAAUGCCGCGUGAGUGAAGAAGGCCUUAGGGUUGUAAAACUCUUUCAGUGGGGAAGAUAAUGACGGUACCCACAGAAGAAGCUCCGGCUAACUCCGUGCCAGCAGCCGCGGUAAUACGGAGGGGGCUAGCGUUGUUCGGAAUUACUGGGCGUAAAGCGCACGUA